CCGCCCAGCUCUUCCUCUUUCUCCCGCGUCACCUCCCUCUCUCCCUCCAACCCUAGACCCGUGCCCGUCUCCCUGCCCCGCCGCCGUCCAGAUCCAACCCCACCCUGCCGUCAUUCUCCUUCGCCCAGACCAAUCCCAUCUCAACCUCCCUCGAUCUUUCUCUCUCUAAAAAAAACCUCCCUCGAUCUCUCGUACAUCCCCUGCCAUCGCGUCGCUGCCGUCGCUGCCGCUCGCCUCGGCCCCCGUCCCCGACCUCACGCUGCCCGGCGCCUCCUCCCCACACCAAGGACCUCCCCUUGCUCCGCCUCUUCUUCCUAUCCGGCUAGAACUGCGGCGCACGGCCUCUCAUGCUCGCUCGCGACCCUCAGCCGUGUCUAGGGUUUCGGGCUGGGCAGCGCCUUCGCCGCCGGCGCGGCUCCGGUGGGCUCUGACGACUCCUCUCCGUCUCCUCCCUCGCCCCCACGUGCGGUUCCACUUCCCGCUGGCCACGAGGUGCAGCCUUGCAGGGGCGCAUCGGGCUGGGUCGCCUCUGUUUCUGAUUUGGUGCAGCAGACGCUGUGGGGUUGAGGUGUUCUUGGACGAUUUGCUUAAGGUUGUCAGUACAUCUUAUAACUAGGUCACUUCCACUGGAUCUUUCUGUUAACAAGCAGCUAGACCCAAGGUAGAGAUCCACCACUGAUGACACAAGUCUGCUACCCUGCUCCUGUGAAGGUCACUGAAGGCCUGCGCCUCCCACCGUGGUAUCCUCUCUCAACUUGCACCUCUUCAUGAUAACAGGAUGGUUUCUGGCAAACAUUUAUCAGGAACUUCAGCUAGGUAUGAAGCACAAUAAAGGUGGCAAUAAGAUGUGCGGGCAAUUAUCUGUGUUUUCGUGACCAUGCUGAUGUGGAGCUGCCAUUGAGGCACAUUUUGCCUCCAAGAUAUCAAACCCUCCAACCUCCAUUUUCUUUAGGAUUGUCCCGAGCCCAUCUCACCUCGGUCUUCUCUCCCCCAUGGAUUCGAUUGUGUGCAUGGAUGAGGAAAGAGUCAUUGCAAGAGGUGUUGGUGGAGACGGAGGUUGAGUGGACGACCGACAUACACGGCUUCAUCUAUAACUGCCUCUAUGGCUUCCUCGGCCUCAAUGUUAGCCUCCCUGCUUCACUACUGCAAAAGGGUUUGCAGCUUUGUGUGGUGAUGGCCCUGCCCCUGGCCAAUAUCGAUGCGCAUAUGAGUGAUCUUUGGCUAUGGAGGCGUAUCUUCUGAUGGUCUACAACAAUGUCUUGUUUCUCUGCUGGCUCCGAUUAUGUUAGGUCAUGUUGGUUGGCAUACAUUUAUUUCUGUAUUUGGCACUUCUGGUUGGCUGAUGUUGUUAUGUUGUCCAAGGAAACACAAUACUUACGUUGGUGUCUACGACAGACUUUUGUUGUUCUACUGCCUGUACCCUGUUUGUCUAGAAGAUGAAGGGGAUGGAUGCAAACUUAUGUAUGCAAUGCCAGGAUGAUCAUGGUAGCUUAUGUGAUUGUCGCUGGUCUUCUAUAUCAACGGUUUGCUUCGAUGUUUUUUGUGUUA